rnacentral:rRNA from 1 species
CCUACGGGUGGCAGCAGUGAGGAAUAUUGGUCAAUGGGCGGGAGCCUGAACCAGCCAAGUCGCGUGAGGGAAGAAGGUCCUUAGUGUUGUAAACCUCUUUUGUCGGGGAACAAAGGCGGCGACGCGUCUCCGGAUGAGUGUACCCGAAGAAAAAGCAUCGGCUAACCCCGUUCCAGCGGCCGCGGUAAUACGGAGGAUGCGAGCGUUAUCCGGAUUUAUUGGGUUUAAAGGGUGCGCAGGCGGGAGAUCAAGUCAGCGGUAAAAUGGCGGGGCUCAACCCCGGUCGGCCGUUGAAACUGGUUUUCUAGAGUGGGCGAGAAGUAUGCGGAAUGCGUGGUGUAGCGGUGAAAUGCAUAGAUAUCACGAAGAACUCCGAUUGCGAAGGCAGCAUACCGGCUCCAAACUGACGCUGAGGCACGAAAGCGUGGGGAUCGAACAGGAUUAGAUACCCUUGUAGUC